rnacentral:rRNA from 1 species
AUACGGAGGGGGCUAGCGUUGUUCGGAAUUACUGGGCGUAAAGCGCGCGUAGGCGGAUUGAUCAGUCAGGGGUGAAAUCCCGAGGCUUAACCUCGGAACUGCCUUUGAUACUGUCAGUCUUGAGUUCGAGAGAGGUGAGUGGAAUUCCUAGUGUAGAGGUGAAAUUCGUAGAUAUUAGGAAGAACACCAGUGGCGAAGGCGGCUCACUGGCUCGAUACUGACGCUGAGGUGCGAAAGCGUGGGGAGCAAACAGGAUUAGAAACCCUAGUAGUCC